UUGUAUGUGGAAAUGUACUUGGCCAAUAAAGAUGAUUCUGAUUCUGAUAUUCUGCACUUUACUCUUUGCACCAUCCAAACACACACAAGCACAAGAACACUAUCUUUGCACUAUCCAAACAAGCACAACAACACUAUAUUUUUUUGCAAUAUCCACACCAGCAGCACAAGAACACUUUCCUCCUGGACAUCGACACGGUCACAAUCAUUGCAUUCUGUACCAUAGGGUCAGACCCAUUCUUGUAUCUGUAAACACCCCCACUCCGUGUGAAUAUGUUCUCCCUAUGUAUAUGUGACUUAUGUAUGUAUGUCGGUGAGGUGUAUAAGUCUAUAAGUGUAUAAGCUACUGGAUGACCUAAAUUUCCCUCGGGAUUAAUAAAGUAUCCAUCUAUCUAUAUAUCUAUUCAAAAUGUAACAGACUGCAGAUAGUGUCCCAUGACUAAGGUAUUUCCAUAGUAUCUCUAUUCACAAUGAAACAGACUGCAGAUAGUGUCCCAUGAUUAAGGUAUUUCCACUAGUAGCUCUAUUCUCUCCACUGGUCAAGUAAAGCGCAAAUUCCAACAGUAAAUUAAAAAAAUUAACAGUCAUGUUUUGUAAAUGUAAAUGAAACAUUGCAAUAGAUUUGGUAUGGGUUUUACCAAACCAAAUAUUCAGCAACUUACUUGAGGGAGAGGAAUCGUCAUCACAAUGUUCUGUUAAAUCAGAUUAUUCUUCCUCUUUAAUUUCCAUCAGUGAAUAAUUUUCUUCUUUGCAGGUCAAGGUUGGUGACAUGUGCAUCUCAGUCUUACAGUCAUAAAACACUUUCUGGCUUUCAAAUGUAACAGACUGUAGAUAGGUUUCCAUGAUUGAGGUAUCCCCAUAGUAUCUCUAUUCUCUCCAUAAGACUCACAUACUGAGUAAAGCACAAGUAAAACCAUUUGCUAACCAUUCAGUGUUUAGCAAAUGUAAACAAAACAUUGGAAUUAAUUCAAUCUGAAUUCUACUAAACCAACUAUUCAGCAACUUACUUGUAGAAGAAUCGUCAUCAGCACAUUCUCUUAAAUCUGGUUCCUCUUUCAUUUCGAUCAGAGAAGAAUUUUCUUCUUUGCAGGUCAAGGUUGGUGAUGUGUGCGUCUCAGUCUUACAGUCAUGUUCCAGUUGAGGCUUUUCUUCCACUGUCUGAAUUUCAAACAGAUACUCCUCUUGUAGGAAAUGAUCAGAUUCUUCUUCUUUUAUAUUCUUCACUGACAUGAGUAGUUGUGAUGGUUCAGUAGAUCCUGACAUUGU
ensembl:lncRNA